rnacentral:rRNA from 1 species
UAUUCCCUCAGUAACGGCGUAGUGAAGCGGUAACAGCUCAAAUUUGAAAUCUGGCAGCAAUGUCCGAGUUGUAAUUUGUAGAGGAUGUUUCGAGCAUGGUCUGGCCUAAGUUCCUUGGAACAGGACGUCAUAGAGGGUGAGAAUCCCGUAUGCGGUCAGGUGCCUACGCUCAUGUGAAACUCCUUCGACGAGUCGAGUUGUUUGGGAAUGCAGCUCAAAAUGGGUGGUAAAUUUCAUCUAAAGCUAAAUAUUGGCCAGAGACCGAUAGCGCACAAGUAGAGUGAUCGAAAGAUGAAAAGCACUUUGGAAAGAGAGUUAAACAGUACGUGAAAUUGUUGAAAGGGAAGCGCUUGCAACCAGACUUGCACGCAGUUAAUCAUCCGCUGUUCUCAGUGGUGCACUUGAUUGCGUUCAGGCCAGCAUCGGUUUUGGUGGUGGGAUAAAGGCCUUAGGAAUGUAGCUGCUUUCGGGCAGUGUUAUAGCCUAGGGUGCAAUGCCGCCUACUGGGACCGAGGACCGCGCUUCGGCUAGGAUGCUGGCGUAAUGGUUGUAAGCGACCCGUCUUGAAACACGGACCAAGGAGUCUAACAUCUAUGCGAGUGUUUGGGUGUCAAACCCAUACGCGUAAUGAAAGUGAACGGAGGUCAGAACCCUUAAGGGUGCAUGAUCGACCGGUCCUGAAGUCUUCGGAUGGAUCUGAGUAAGAGCAUAGCUGUUGGGACCCGAAAGAUGGUGAACUAUGCCUGAAUAGGGUGAAGCCAGAGGAAACUCUGGUGGAGGCUCGCAGCGGUUCUGACGUGCAAAUCGAUCGUCAAAUUUGGGUAUAGGGGGCGAAAGACUAAUCGAACCAUCUAGUAGCUGGGUCCUGCGA